rnacentral:rRNA from 1 species
UACGGAGGGUGCAAACGUUGCUCGGAAUCAUUGGGCGUAAAGCGCACGUAGGCGGUUCGUUAAGUCGGAUGUGAAAGCCCUCGGCUCAACUGAGGAAGUGCACCCGAAACUGGCGAGCUUGAGUACGAAAGAGGAUCGCGGAAUUCCCGGUGUAGAGGUGAAAUUCGUAGAUAUCGGGAGGAGCACCGGUGGCGAAGGCGGCGAUCUGGGUCGAUACUGACGCUGAGGUGCGAAAGCGUGGGGAGCAAACAGG